rnacentral:tRNA from 1 species
GCGGGCGUAGCCGAAUUGGUACAGGCGCACGGCUUAGGACCGUGUGGCGCAAGCCAUGGGGGUUCGAGUCCCUUCGCCCGCACAA